rnacentral:rRNA from 1 species
UACGGGGGGAGCAAACGUUGUUCGGAAUCACUGGGCGUAAAGGGCGUGUAGGCGGCUGAAUAAGUGGGAUGUUAAAUCCCCCGGCUCAACCGGGGACCUGCAUCUCAUACUGUUCAGCUCGAGCACAUCAGAGGAGACUGGAAUUCCCGGUGUAGCGGUGAAAUGCAUAGAUAUCGGGAGGAACACCAGUGGCGAAGGCGAGUCUCUGGGAUGAUGCUGACGCUGAGGCGCGAAAGCCAGGGGAGCAAACGGG